AGGAAAUGCACGCAGGGCUGAUGACAGAAGACGUUUCCAGGGUCGCGGCGAGCCUGGAGCCUAUCCCAGGGGACUCGGGGCACAAGGCAUAUGACACUCUGAAUGGGGUGUAAAUAUGAACUUCUAAGAAAACAACACCACCCCCCAAAAGUGUCCAUGGAGAUACCGGUCGAUGAGAGCUUACCAUCAGGAGCUUACCAUCAGGAGCGGACGCAAUAUGGAGAGAACGAAUAUAAAGAAUCCUGGCCUGAAUAAGUGCAGUAUAACGGAAGGACAGUAGAGUCAAGACAUAUUCCAGUGGUAUAGAAUCCAUCAGCAAGGAUGCGUUUCUCUCUGACACCUCGCCAGUUGGUCUUUCUCUUUUACAUAAUCACACUUUUGUUCAGCUGCGUGCUUGGAGUGCGCUCCAGUGACGGAAAGCCGGUAACAUGCUGUUCACGCACCAGUGAUGCCCAAGUUCUAGCAGCCCGUAUAGCAAAAUAUGCCUACACUGAGAAAUCAGGCAGAUGUCUUGAGGCAUAUGUGUUUUCGCUGAACAAUGGGAAGCUCCAGUGCAGCAGUGUAAAUGCCAAAAAUAUCGACGCAACACUGGCAAUGUUAAAAAAGAAAGGAGUGCCAUUUUUCGGCAGGCUCAAGAGCUGACAUUUACAAGCAGGAGGACAAUGAAGUUCCAGCUGUUGUUCUGCAUACUGUUCUUAUAUGAAAUCAUUCUUCUGCGUACUGUACGUGCCAGUACUCUUUUAUGUAUUUUUGUAUUCCUGCAUAUUAUAGUAUUUAUUUUCAUUUUAUGUUGAACUCAAACCGGAUAUUCACUCAAUAUUUAUCUAAUAUUUAACUUUACAUGCCUUGUGUAUUUAUGGAAAUUAUUUAUUUUGUUAUUAGGUCAUACAAGAUACUAAAUGUAUUACGUGAAGUAUUUUUUUAGCAUUCAUAUUCAAUAAAUAAUACAACUCUGGAAGAAGAGGUUUCUGCUUUCAUGACUGCGUGUUUUAUGUAAGUGUAUUUUUUUACCCAUUCAUCAAAGACAGAGUGAUAUGGGAUGGACACACACUGCUGAAUGAAAUAAAAA
ensembl:lncRNA